rnacentral:rRNA from 1 species
UGGGGAAUAUUGCACAAUGGGCGCAAGCCUGAUGCAGCCAUGCCGCGUGUGUGAAGAAGGCCUUCGGGUGGUAAAGCACUUUCAGCGGGGAGGAAGGCGGUGAGGUUAAUAACCUCAUCGAUUGACGUUACCCGCAGAAGAAGCACCGGCUAACUCCGUGCCAGCAGCCGCGGUAAUACGGAGGGUGCAAGCGUUAAUCGGAAUUACUGGGCGUAAAGCGCACGCAGGCGGUCUGUCAAGUCGGAUGUGAAAUCCCCGGGCUCAACCUUGGAACUGCAUUCGAAACUGGCAGGCUAGAGUCUUGUAGAGGGGGGUAGAAUUCCAGGUGUAGCGGUGAAAUGCGUAGAGAUCUGGAGGAAUACCGGUGGCGAAGGCGGCCCCCUGGACAAAGACUGACGCUCAGGUGCGAAAGCGUGGGGAGCAAACAGG